rnacentral:rRNA from 1 species
AGGCGCAGCGAAAGCGAGUCUUAAUAGGGCGAUUAGUUUGUUGCAUUAGACCCGAAACCGAGUGAUCUAGCCAUGAGCAGGUUGAAGGUUGGGUAACACCAACUGGAGGACCGAACCCGCAUCUGUUGCAAUAGAUUGGGAUGACUUGUGGCUAGGGGUGAAAGGCCAAUCAAACUUGGAAAUAGCUGGUUCUCCGCGAAAUCUAUUUAGGUAGCGCGUCUAGUCUCACCUUCGGGGGUAGAGCACUGGAUGGGGAAGGGGGGAGCGAUCCUUACCGACUCUAACCAAACUCCGAAUACCGAAGAGUGCAAUCUAGGCAGACAGACGGCGGGUGCUAAGGUCCGUCGUCAAAAGGGAAACAGCCCUAACCUACAGCUAAGGUCCCCAAGUCAUAUCUAAGUGGGAAAGCAUGUGGGAAUCCCAAAACAACCAGGAGGUUGGCUUAGAAGCAGCCAUCCUUGAAAGAGUGCGUAAUAGCUCACUGGUCGAGUGGUUCUGC